UGCUGUUCAGAGACAGGAUUCUCUUGACAAAGUGAGAGCGUCCAGAAGCAGACCUCAGCCACUUACCUUGGCCUUUCCCGGCUGGACGCAGACCAGGCUCUCAGCCUCAGAUGCUACCCAAGACACCUGAGGGCCAAGGACAUGCAUUGGAGGCCUCGGGUUUCACAGUCCUGGGCAGAGGCCGCCCCCAAGGUGCUGACCCAGCCUGCCACCCUCGACCAAAAUAAACCCAGGGCAAGGUGCUUAGAUCAGCCACUCCCCAAACCGCAUGGCCUGAUCCGGGUUGCAGAUCUGGCCACUGUGGGCCCCGCGGAAAGGGCCGUCCGUGGCCCCACAAGGCCCGAGACGUAGACCAAUUGACCUCAAAGAACAAAAAGUUCAUUCUGGAGAGAUCCAGGCAAGAGGAAGUGAUUACAGCAGCUGACAGCGAAAGAACGCUUUCCAGUCAUGGGGUCCUCAGGUCUCUCCAAGGCGAUUGGAGGAAUCCAGGACCUGUGUGGUCCCCUUCACAGGUUGUGAUGAAAGGACGAUGAAAGAUGAAGGCAGCCUGUGUGGCGAGUGCCCUGUGCUGUGCCCGAUGUUCUAAAGCAUCUGAUGUCAUCCAGGACACUCCCAGCUCACCUAGGCUCCUGCUUACUCAGACACUGGAAAGUUUUCUGAGGGACACAGCUGAGCCCAGCCAUCCCCGCCCACUGCAAUAAUCCACCAAGAAUGCUGAUGACCAGAAGAUGGAGUGAGUGGACAGCUCAGGUCCGGGCUCCGGGGGAAGGGUCACACAAUGGCCUGAGGUCGAGGCUGCUCUGACAGAGCUUCACGGAGCGGAGGCAUCACUGCACCGAUGGAACUGCUUGGAAAAUCCUUCCUGGUAACUGUAUCGGAUCAUUUUGCCAAACAGCUGCCCAUCCAGCACACAGGGGCCGCGGCUCUGUUUCUCUUGGCCCACUUCGGGGCAGGAGAGGCAUGUACAGGGGACUGGAGGACAUGACACCCUCCCCCCUGGCCUCUAGCACCUGUGGCCUGCCCCUGGAGCAGAGCCUGGGAGAGGAUUUGCGGGAUUCUGCCAGCACCAGCAAGGCUCCUGGAAGACCUGUGGAUAGGCCUCCCGCCCUGGGUUGACCUCAGUGGGUUUGCCCUUGCGAGGGACAGAAACAGGCUUUAAAAAAAAAUUUUUUUUUUAAUGUUUAUUUUGGAGAGAGAGAGAGACCCACACAGUGCAAGCAGGAAAGGGGCAGAGAGGGAGACACAGAAUCUGAAGCGGGCUCCAGGCUCUGAACUGUCAGCACAGAGCCCAACGAGCCCGAUGCUGGGCUCGAACUCACCAACCAUGAGAUCAUGACCUGAGCCGAAGUCGGACACUUGACCGAGUGAGCCACCCAGGUGCCCCUGCGAGGAACAAGGCUCUUAAAGACAUCGGCUCAGAUAGGUUGGCGGAAAGUCCGAUGUAGGGUACAACCCCCUGUGGAAAAUGGCUCGGCACUUCCUCGAAAGGCUAAAUGUAGAGGUACCUCAUGAUCUGGCAAUCCCAUUCCUGGGGAUAGACCCAAAAGAAGUGAGAACAGGUGUUCACACAAAUCCUCGUACGCCCCGUUCGCAGCAGCCCUGUUCGCAAUUGCCAAAAGGUAGAAAGUGCCCAAAUGUCCAUCAAUGGAUGAACGGAUAAACAAAAUGUGGUCCAUCCCUGCAGUGGAAUAUUAUUCAGCCGGAGAAAGGAAUGAAGCCCUGACACGCGCUACAACGCGGAGGAACCUUGGAAACGCGCUCAGCGGAAGACACCAGACACACAAAAAACCCACAUAGUGUAUGAUUCUAUCUACGUGAGAAGUCCAGAACAGGCAGAAAGUCCAGAAAGUCCAGAACAGUCCAGAGCAGACUUAGGAAGGAGAUUAGUGGUCGCCAGGGGCUGGAGAGGUUAGGAGAAAUAGGGAGUGACUGCUAAUGGGCCCAGGGUCUCCUUUUGGGGUGACGGGAAUGUUCUGGAACCGGACAGAUCUGCUGGUCGCACGACAUUGUGAAUGUACUACCCACCACUGCAUUGUUCACAAUCAAAUGGUUAAUUUUAUGUGAUGUUUACACCGGUUAGAAACCAAAAGGUUGGGUGAUCCCAGCAGGGAGGGGAUGUUGCCCUCCGUCGCCAACACAGGCAAGUAUUUGGUGUUGGCAAUUCUUUUUUUUUUUUAAUUUUUUUUGAUGUUUUUAUUUAUU